GUGGGGAAUAUUGGACAAUGGGCGAAAGCCUGAUCCAGCCAUGCCGCGUGUGUGAAGAAGGUCUUCGGAUUGUAAAGCACUUUAAGUUGGGAGGAAGGGUAGUAACCUAAUACGUUGCUACUUUGACGUUACCGACAGAAUAAGCACCGGCUAACUUCGUGCCAGCAGCCGCGGUAAUACGAAGGGUGCAAGCGUUAAUCGGAAUUACUGGGCGUAAAGCGCGCGUAGGUGGUUCAGUAAGUUGGAAGUGAAAUCCCCGGGCUCAACCUGGGAACUGCUUUCAAAACUGCUGAGCUAGAGUACGGUAGAGGGUGGUGGAAUUUCCUGUGUAGCGGUGAAAUGCGUAGAUAUAGGAAGGAACACCAGUGGCGAAGGCGACUACCUGGACUGAUACUGACACUGAGGUGCGAAAGCGUGGGGAGCAAACAGGAUUAGAUACCCGUGUAGUCC
rnacentral:rRNA from 1 species